rnacentral:snRNA from 1 species
AGAAUUAAUGCACUGAACAGGAG